rnacentral:rRNA from 1 species
GAAAAGCACUCUGAAGAGAGAGUCAAAAGACCGUGAAACCGCUCAGAGUAUAAGCCAAUGGAGCUUGGAAGGCUUCCGCAGACCCGGGCAUCAUACGUGGUGUUCGACAGACCAGGGCGAUGGUUCGUCAGGAGCAGAAUUGAGUUUUCCUAGCAUCCCUCGUGCGGGGAGGUCGUCUCGGGGUCCGACGCUUCGGCUGAGGAUUGCCCCGGGACGUCUCCUUAAGAAUGGACGUUCAUAGCUUCUGGUCUAAUGCGGUAUUUGCCCACCACGGCACGUUGUGAGGUCACCCACAGGCUCAAACUGCCGAGCGUGAAUCCAGGACGAUGGCAACGAUGCGUUUUUUGGUUAUGCUCGGAGAUACACACACAUCCGAGUAUCACGCGUGUCUAGUCCUGGGUCAGGCGGCGACCGAGAUAAACCUGGUAUGAUCCUCUUGCGACGAGCUGCUUUCUGGCCAGUCCGACGCCCAGGCGCUUCCACUGUGCCGGAAGUGUCAACCCCAGGCGGUCUGUUCCCUGCUGCAAUUACGCAAGGUCUCUCAGCCGGGCGUUGGACUGAGUGGUGUUCAAUCCAGCACCAUCGGUCACGUCUCGAAACACGGGCCAAGGAGUAUAGCAUGUGUGCAAGUCUAAGGGUCUCUCAAAACCCGCAGGCGAAGUGAAAGCAAGACUGAGGUGGGGGAGGUACGGCAAACCCGCCGGCCUUGUGUCUGGCGCGCGCGCGCUUACGCGCGCGCGUGUUUUUGACUGGCUUACAACAGAGCUGAUCCUGCUUACAUGGUUAAAUCUUUGUGCAGGCGCAAGCUCCGGGCUCACGUACAAACACCGGUCGUGCCUCGUGCGUGGCUGUGUUGUGAGCACCGUGGAGCAUGCAUGCUAU